rnacentral:rRNA from 1 species
AGAGUUUGAUCCUGGCUCAGGAUGAACGCCGGCGGUGUGCCUAAUACAUGCAAGUCGUACGCACUGGCCCAACUGAUUGAUGGUGCUUGCACCUGAUUGACGAUGGAUCACCAGUGAGUGGCGGACGGGUGAGUAACACGUAGGUAACCUGCCCCGGAGCGGGGGAUAACAUUUGGAAACAGAUGCUAAUACCGCAUAACAACAAAAGCCACAUGGCUUUUGUUUGAAAGAUGGCCUUGGCUAUCACUCUGGGAUGGACCUGCGGUGCAUUAGCUAGUUGGUAAGGUAACGGCUUACCAAGGCGAUGAUGCAUAGCCGAGUUGAGAGACUGAUCGGCCACAAUGGAACUGAGACACGGUCCAUACUCCUACGGGAGGCAGCAGUAGGGAAUCUUCCACAAUGGGCGCAAGCCUGAUGGAGCAACACCGCGUGAGUGAAGAAGGGUUUCGGCUCGUAAAGCUCUGUUGUUGGAGAAGAACGUGCGUGAGAGUAACUGUUCACGCAGUGACGGUAUCCAACCAGAAAGUCACGGCUAACUACGUGCCAGCAGCCGCGGUAAUACGUAGGUGGCAAGCGUUAUCCGGAUUUAUUGGGCGUAAAGCGAGCGCAGGCGGUUGCUUAGGUCUGAUGUGAAAGCCUUCGGCUUAACCGAAGAAGUGCAUCGGAAACCGGGCGACUUGAGUGCAGAAGAGGACAGUGGAACUCCAUGUGUAGCGGUGGAAUGCGUAGAUAUAUGGAAGAACACCAGUGGCGAAGGCGGCUGUCUGGUCUGCAACUGACGCUGAGGCUCGAAAGCAUGGGUAGCGAACAGGAUUAGAUACCCUGGUAGUCCAUACCGUAAACGAUGAGUGCUAGGUGUUGGAGGGUUUCCGCCCUUCAGUGCCGGAGCUAACGCAUUAAGCACUCCGCCUGGGGAGUACGACCGCAAGGUUGAAACUCAAAGGAAUUGACGGGGACCCGCUCAAGCGGUGGAGCAUGUGGUUUAAUUCGAAGCAACGCGAAGAACCUUACCAAGCCUUGACAUCUCCCUGGCAGCAUAUGUAAUGUAUGUUCCCUUUGGGGCAGGAAAGACAGGUGGUGCAUGGUUGUCGUCAGCUCGUGUCGUGAGAUGUUGGGUUAAGUCCCGCAACGAGCGCAACCCCUAUUUCCAGUAGCCAGCAUUCAGGAUGGGCACUCUGGAGAGACUGCCCGGGAUAACCGGGAGGGAGGCGGGGAUGACGUCAAAUCAUCAUGCCCCUUAUGACCAGGGCUACACACGUGCUACAAUGGCGUAAACAAAGGGAGGCAAAGCGGUGACGCCAGGCAAAUCCCAAAAAUAACGUCCCAGUUCGGAUUGCAGCCUGCAACUCGGCUGCAUGAAGCUGGAAUCGCUAGUAAUCGCGGAUCAGAAUGCCGCGGUGAAUACGUUCCCGGGUCUUGCACUCACCGCCCGUCA